AUGGACUGGCAAGCUGGCUCACUGGUGAAGGAAGCCUGUGAUCAGAGCCUGGGUAGUCCAACCAAUCUUGAAGGAGUUGCAUGCUUAUGGUACACAGAGGUCACCCUGAUUCAGGAAGAGGUGGCUCGUUAUGCUCCUAGUGGUGAACAGGGGAAGAGAGGGAGAGAGGAACAGUGGUCUUACUUGGCUAUGGACUUUGGUGGGGCUGGUGCCGCCCAGCAAGGGCUGACUGACAGCUGCCAAUCUGGAGGCCUUCCCACAGCUGUGCAGAAUUUAGCGCUGCGUGCAGCUGUUGCCGCUGCUGCUCUCCAGGCUGUUAACCCCUUCAAAUACGCCUUCUGUGUCCGCAGCCCUCAUCCUCCCAUACAGACUCUGCAGGCACCCCAGUCCGAGGUCCAUGUGCAGGGGCAGGAGCCACUGACUGCCUCCAUACUGGCUGCAGCAUCACCGCAAGGACCAGAAGCAGAUGCUGGGAGAGCGCUUGUUCCCACUUAUCCAAACAAUGCAUUCAAACCUGGCUGGGAAGAUCACGGGAACGCUGCUGGAGAUCGACAACUCUGAGCUGCUGCAUAUGUUAGAGUCCCCCGAGUCUUUCCACUCCAAGGUGGAUGAAGCUGUAGCAGUUCUACAGGCUCAUGAUGCCAAGAAAGAAGCUUCCCCCAAGGUGGGCGCUGUUGCUGCUGCUACCUCUUAGACAAGGAAAAACCGAUUCAAAAGCCAAAUAACCCCUCAUGGAAUUCAGCUUAAGGUUUAAAGACUUCCUAGCUUGUCCUGUGGACCUCAACACCAAGAACUACAAAUUACAAAUUUAAUAGGUCAUUUUGUAUUGAAAGGUCAAUUAUGAAGCGCCUAGAAUUUUUCAAUGAUACGAAUAUGUUCUCUGGGUUCUGCUGUGGCCCAGUUUUUUUUUUUUUUCUAUUGUGGGUUUUGAUUUUUUUCCCCAGAAGUUGGUUUUAUUUGAUGUACCCAAGUCUUACGUUUCUCAAUAAAGA